rnacentral:lncRNA from 1 species
UCAUAAUGAAUACUCAAAGUCAAACCUGGAGAGACCCACCCGAAGGCUGUCUAUGGCCCUGAGACCCACCCGUAGGCUGUCUGGCCGAUGCCGUGCCUAAUGGCCCCGUGGUAGUCAUCAUCCCCACCCUAGGAAUGAGCCUGGCCCACGGCAAUCCACUUCGGCGCCCAAUCCCGCACGGCGAAUAUGAAUCGCGAUGGCUAUCUCCGGAGUGCCAGCUUGUAGGGAGCGACCCUCACAAGCAUGUGCGAAUGAGCACGAUGGCAAGUAAUCAAAUGAUCUGUCGCAAGUACCAAGUCCUCAUGUCUAAUAACAUGGAAUGUGUCAAGUAUCUCAAUGGCCUAUCCCUAUGUCAUCAUGUCUCUAACAUGGAAUAUAGCAGAUAUGUAGUGGCCAAUCAGUAUGUCUCUAUGUUGCAGUUUCAUAGUUUACUAGUUUCAAGUGCUUCUUGAUGACACUUUAGGCUACUAAGUCCAAACAUAGUAUAAUGUUUCCAAUACACGAAUAUGAGCUAAAUUAGCAUACUAGACGAGAAUCCCAUUCGUCCACAUGAACACCCCUCACAUGCAUGAAAAUAACCCCGAUUACUCUACUAUGUAGAGUGAAAUUUAACUUACACAUAGGGCAUACAUUUUAAGUGUUCUAAAAUUCACAUAAAUUCCAAUUAGCAUAGAAAUGCAUUCAAAAAUACUUUACGAAGAGUUUAGAAAGCAUAGGGGCCAUUUCACCCCGUUUUCAUGAAGUCAAACCCACCGUCGUCAACGAAAGCUUUCGUUUGCCACGACGAAGGCGUCCACCACACUCCUAGUACCCUAAAGGUAUGAGAACAAGAGUCAUCUAGUCGAAACGAACGACGCUAAGUUCAAUCUUUAAGCUAUUCAAGCAUAGGUGGAGGAAAACUCACCUCAAGUGCAAAAAUCUCCUCUAAAGCUCCAAAAGAGAGCUAGAGUCCAUCCAAUCCCACCUAAUGGAAGCCUCUAAACCAAUCAAUCUAGCUCCAAAAGCCCUAGCUUCAAAAUACCCAAAAAUAACCCUAAUAUUACAAUCUAGGGUUUCAUCUCAAAUCCAUCAAUAAAGCUCAAGUCUAGAGGGAGAGAACAAGUCACUUACCUCUAAGAAGCUUCAAACCAAGCUCCAAAAUCCUCAAAGUGUGGAGAUCUCCCUCUUCCCAAGCUCCAAGGUCAAGCUCCAAUGGAGGAAAAGUUUCCAACAAGCAAAAAGAGCAAAAAGAGGGUUUAAUCCUCCAAAAUCCAAGAGAAUGGGAUCAAAUCCAAGGGGGAAGGAGAAGAGGGGUGCCCUACCUUGCCCUCUCUGUGAUCUGAGCUCAGGAGAAGCCCUAAGGGGCGUGGGGUACUAAAUAGAAGGCUACAAUUGCGAAAACCCCCUGCAGUUCAAACUGCUCAGAUUCUGCCAAAGUGUACCGGUACACGGGAAAGUGUACCGGUACAAAUCCUACGAAAAUGCAAACCCGAGGCUCGGGUUUGAAAUUCGCCACAAGUGUACCGGUACAGCCAUCAAAAGUGUACCGGUACAAAAUGUGUACCGGUAUAGCCAUCGACCUGUCACCGGUUACACCUCGUGCAGAAUGCAAUCCGAGGGUAGGCUAAGUCCAACUCUUUGGUGACCUUAGCGCUACAUAUAAUACCACAAUUCUCGGGAUACGAGCCAUGGGUCGGAACACAGUCAACGACCCACCAGAAAGUCUGGAAAAACUCGGGACACUAUCCAAACACUCGAACCUCGCAAUUUGCAAAGGUCCAGUGNN